rnacentral:tRNA from 1 species
GCUCCAUUAGCUCAGUUGGAUAGAGCGGUUGCCUCCUAAGCAGCAGGUCGUACGUUCGAAUCGUAUAUGGGGCG